rnacentral:rRNA from 1 species
AUUGAACGCUGGCGGCAGGCCUAACACAUGCAAGUCGAGCGGAGCUGGCGACGGGUGAGUGAGUCCUAGGAAUCUGCCUGGUCGAUGGGGAUAACGUCCGGAAAUGGGCGCUAAUACCGCACACUAUCAGAUGAGCCUAGGUGGGAUUAGCUAGCUGGUGGGGUAAAGGCCUACCAAGCCGACGAUCCAUAACUGGUCUGAGAGGAUGAUCAGCCACACUGGAACUGAGACACGGUCCAGACUCCUACGGGAGGCAGCAGUGGGGAAUAUUGGACAAUGGGCGAAAGCCUGAUGCAGCCAUGCCGCGUGUGUGAAGAAGGUCUUCGGAUUGUAAAGCACUUUAAGUUGGGAGGCGUUACCGACAGAGUAAGCACCGGCUAACUUCGUGCCAGCAGCCGCGGUAAUUC